UGUUGUUGUUGUAAAAAAAUUAAUGUCGAUAAGUGCAUUGGUAAACAUAUUGUAUUUUGGGGGAAGGUAAAAUUUUCCUUGCCAAAUAGCCGUAAUUUAAUUGGGUGUUGUAUAAUCAAGAUUGUAACACUUAUUUAUUUCAAUAUUUAUUUAAUUCGCCUACUUUUUCACUAAUGACAUUCAGGGCUAUCCUCUUUACUGCGCCGGAAUACAUUAAUAAUAUGUUUAAAUUCUGUGAGAAUAGUACAUACAAUAUGAGAAGCAAUAGAUGGAAGCUCGCAUUGGGCAAACUCAGUUGAAACUUUAUGAAAAAAAGUUUCUCGUACCGGGGCGCUGUCGCCUGGAAUAAUUUACCAGAUGUCUUAACUAAGGCCAAUGAGCAAUUUUCAAAUUUUGCUUGAUAAAUAUUUUUACGAAUUGAAUGACGUUUGAAAUCUGCUCUAAUUCCUCUUUUUAACGAGAAUAAGGAUUCGUUCUUAAAAUUUAACUAGAGAGCAUAUAUUUGACGUUAUUUUCAUUGUAUUUGUAUAUACCUAGAUUAGUUUGUAGUUUGAAAAGUUAAUUUGUAAAUAAUUACUGUCGUUCCAAUUGAAGUGUUCCUCAAAUAUUGAUUCAAUACAUUACCUCAGGCUGACCAAUUCAUUUCAUCAAGUUCCUCGAGAUAUUGAUACACUUCCUGUGAAAGAGCCAAUUCCAAGAAUUUGAUCAUUUCUGGUCACUUCCUUUCUAUUUAUGAUUGGUUAGUUGCACAAACAACAAAGCUGAUUGGUGCAUUCAAACUAUUCAACAGGAAGUUUACAAUUAUACUAGGAAGUAUAUGAAUAUUUAGAGGAACUUGAUCAAAUGAAUUGGUCAGCCCGAGGUAAUGUAUUGAAUCAAUAUUUGAGGACCACUUCAAUUGUAACGGCAGUAAUAAAAC
rnacentral:lncRNA from 1 species